GACCUCAAGUCAUGUGUGAGUACCCGCUGAACUUAAGCAUAUCAAUAAGCGGAGGAAAAGAACUAACAAGGAUUCCCCUAGUAACGGCGAGUGAAGCGGGAAGAGCCCAAAUUUAAUCUACCUGGUUUCCAGGUCGAGUUGUAAUUGAAGAAGUGUUUUUACUUUCCGGGUUGGGUUAAAUCCUUUGGGAUAAGGUAUCAUGGAGGGUGAGAAUCCCGUGUAUACCAACCGCAGGAUUGUUUAAUAUACACUUUCUAAGAGUCGAGUUGUUUGGGAAUGCAGCUCUAAAUGGGUGGUAAAUUUCACCUAAUGCUAAAUAUAAGCGAGAGACCGAUAGCGAACAAGUACCGUGAGGGAAAGAUGAAAAGAACUUUGAAAAGAGAGUUAAAUAGUACGUGAAAUUGUUGAAAGGGAAACGGUUGAAGUCAGUCAUGCCGGCGGGAAUCAACUUAGGGGAAACUCUGAGUGCACUUCUUCGCUUGGCAGGUUAGCGUCGAUUUUGGAUGUCAUAAAAUGACUGGGGGAAGGUAGCUCUUUCGGGAGUGUUAAGCCCUUGGUAGAUGUGAUGUCUGGGAUCGAGGAUUGCAACGGAUACCCUUUGGGCUAGUCGCCUAGUCUCUAAUACGAAGUUGGGUUAUGGACAGCAUGCUGACUAUGAUCUGAUUUUCGGUUAAAAGAUUAGAGCGAGCAUAAAUUCGUUAAGGACGCUGACGUAAUGGCUUUAAACGACCCGUCUUGAAACACGGACC
rnacentral:rRNA from 1 species